rnacentral:rRNA from 1 species
GACGAACGCUGGCGGCGUGCUUAACACAUGCAAGUCGAACGGAAAGGCCCUGCUUGCAGGGUACUCGAGUGGCGAACGGGUGAGUAACACGUGGGUGAUCUGCCCUGCACUUCGGGAUAAGCCUGGGAAACUGGGUCUAAUACCGGAUAGGAGACAUUUUUAGUGUGAUGGUUGGAAAGUUUUUUCGGUGUAGGAUGAGCUCGCGGCCUAUCAGCUUGUUGGUGGGGUAAUGGCCUACCAAGGCGGCGACGGGUAGCCGGCCUGAGAGGGUGGACGGCCACAUUGGGACUGAGAUACGGCCCAGACUCCUACGGGAGGCAGCAGGGGGGAAUAUUGCACAAUGGGCGCAAGCCUGAUGCAGCGACGCCGCGUGGGGGAUGACGGCCUUCGGGUUGUAAACUCCUUUCGCUAGGGACGAAGCUUUUUGUGACGGUACCUAGAUAAGAAGCACCGGCUAACUACGUG